GAUGAAGAACGCAGCGAAAUGCGAUACGUAAUGUGAAUUGAAGAAUUCAGUGAAUCAUCGAGUCUUUGAACGCACAUUGCGCCCCCUGGUAUUCCGGGGGGCAUGCCUGUCCGAGCGUCAUUGCUGCCCUCAAGCACGGCUUGUGUGUUGGGCUCCGUCCCCCCGGGGACGGGUCCGAAAGGCAGCGGCGGCACCGAGUCCGGUCCUCGAGCGUAUGGGGCUUUGUCACCCGCUCUGUAGGCCCGGCCGGCGCCAGCCGACAACAAAUCAUCCUUAUUUCAGGUUGACCUCGGAUCAGGUAGGGAUACCCGCUGAACUUAAGCAUAUCAAUAAGCGGAGGA
rnacentral:misc_RNA from 1 species